AUGUUGAGAGGAAUAUCAGGAGGGCAAAAAAAGAGAGUGACCACAGCUGAGAUGCUCGUCACACCAGGACGGGCCCUUUUCAUGGACGAAAUAUCAACUGGACUUGACAGUUCGACUACCUUCCAGAUUGUGAACUCCAUCCGGCAAACUAUUCACAUUCUUGGCGGAACAGCAGUUAUUUCCUUGCUGCAACCUGCACCUGAGACAUAUGAAUUGUUUGACGAUAUAAUUCUCCUCUCAGACGGUCAGGUUGUCUACAAUGGCCCCCGUGAACAUGUGCUUGAGUUUUUUGAAUCAGUGGGUUUCAAAUGUCCCGAGAGAAAAGGUGUAGCUGACUUCUUGCAGGAGGUUACAUCAAGGAAAGAUCAGAGACAAUACUGGAUACACAGUGACGAGACAUACCGAUAUGUUGCUGUGAAGAACUUUGCAGAGGCAUUUCAAUCUUUCCAUGUUGGUCAGGCUAUAAGAAGUGAGUUGUCUGUCCCAUUUGACAAGAGCAGGAGCCAUCCUGCUGCCCUGAAAACAUCAAAAUAUGGUGCCAACAUGAAAGAGCUGCUUAAAGCUAACAUCAACAGAGAGAUGUUGCUCAUGAGAAGAAACUCCUUUGUGUAUAUAUUCAAGGCAACUCAGUUGACGCUAAUGGCAAUCAUCACAAUGACGGUCUUUCUUCGGACAAAUAUGCAUCAUGACUCGAUAACAAAUGGAGGGAUAUACAUGGGUGCACUGUUCUUUGGGAUCGUGAUGAUCAUGUUCAAUGGGUUAGCAGAAGUGGGCCUAACUGUUGCAAAGCUUCCUGUUUUCUUCAAACAAAGGGAUCUCCUUUUCUUUCCAGCAUGGACGUAUUCCUUGCCAUCAUGGAUCAUCAAAACACCCCUCUCCUUGCUGAAUGCAUCAAUAUGGGUCUUCAUAACAUAUUACGUCAUCGGAUUUGAUCCCAAUGUAGAGAGACUUUUUAGACAGUUCCUGCUCCUCUUAGUAAUGAGUGAGACGGCAUCUGGCCUCUUCCGCUUCAUUGCUGGUCUUGCAAGGAAUCAGAUUGUUGCGAACACCAUUGGUUCAUUCUUCUUACUAAUCUGUAUGCUUACAGGCGGAUUCGUCCUGUCAAGAGAGAAUGUGAAGAAAUGGUGGAUAUGGGGGUAUUGGAUAUCACCACUGAUGUAUGCACAAAAUGCCAUAUCAGUAAAUGAAUUCCUAGGUGGCAGCUGGAAUAAGACAGUCCCUGGUUUCAGAGAACCACUUGGAAGACUAGUUCUGGAAUCUCGUGGAAUGUUUACUGAGGCAAAAUGGUACUGGAUUGGUGUUGGUGCACUGCUCGGAUAUGUGCUUCUAUUCAAUGCCCUCUACACCAUCUGCCUCACAUUUCUCAAACCAUUUGACAGCAGUCAGCAAACAAUAUCUGAGGAAACAAUGAAGAUAAAACAGGCUAAUUUAACUGGUGAAAUUCUGGAAGAAACAUCAGGAGGGCAUAACAAUACAACAAUACUCGAUACUGCAGAUGAGAGCAACGGUGAAUCAACUUCAAACAACGCAACAGUGAAUUCUUGUCCAAGCAACAAAGGAAUGAUACUGCCUUUUACACCUCUCUCCUUCACAUUCAAAGAAAUAAGAUAUAGUGUACACAUGACAGAGGAAGUCAAAGCACAAGGUGUGAAAGAGGACAGAUUGGAACUGUUGAAGGGUAUCAGUGAUUCAUUUAGGCCAGGUGUGCUUACAGCUCUCAUGGGUGUCAGUGGUGCCGGUAAGACCACACUGAUGGAUGUGCUGGCUGGGAGGAAGACCAGUGGAUAUGUAGAGGGCAACAUUACAAUAUCUGGCUACCCAAAGAAGCAAGAAACUUUUGCUCGUGUGUCAGGAUACUGCGAGCAGAAUGAUAUCCAUUCACCAAAUGUGACCGUCUACGAGUCCCUUGCAUUCUCUGCAUGGCUACGAUUACCGGCUGAUGUUGAUUCCUCAACAAGAAAGAUGUUCAUCGAUGAGGUCAUGGAGCUUGUGGAGCUUUCCCCCUUGAAAGAUUCAUUGGUUGGACUACCUGGUGUGACUGGAUUAUCAACUGAGCAAAGGAAAAGACUAACAAUUGCAGUGGAGCUGGUAGCUAACCCUUCUAUCAUUUUCAUGGAUGAACCGACAUCUGGACUUGAUGCAAGAGCUGCAGCCAUUGUCAUGAGGACAAUAAGGAAUAUAGUGGAUACAGGAAGGACAGUAGUUUGCACAAUUCACCAACCAAGCAUUGACAUAUUUGAAUCUUUUGAUGAGCUCUUCCUGAUGAAACUAGGAGGUGAAGAAAUUUAUGUAGGUCCACUGGGACGCCAUUCAUGUGAAUUGAUCAGAUAUUUUGAGGCUAUUGAAGGUGUGAGCAAGAUAAAAGACAGCUAUAAUCCUUCAACAUGGAUGCUGCAAGUGACUAGUGCAGUACAAGAACAGAUAACUGGGAUCAACUUCAGCCAAGUAUACAAGAAUUCUGAACUAUAUGGGAUGAACAAAAAUUUAAUAAAGGAGCUAAGCACACCCCCUGAAGGUUCAAAUGACCUAUCCUUUCCAACGCAGUACUCGCAGACCUUCCUCACACAAUGUUCCGCUUGCCUGUGGAAGCAAAGUCAGUCAUAUUGGAGAAAUCCCCCAUACACUGCUGUCAAGUACUUCUACACUGUAGUAAUGGCACUGCUGUUUGGAACAAUGUUUUGGGGCAUUGGCAAGAAAAGGCAGAGUCAACAGGACUUGUUCAAUGCCAUGGGUUCCAUGUACGCCUCAGUUUUGUACAUGGGGGUACAGAAUUCCGCGACAAUUCAGCCAGUUGUGGCUGUUGAGCGCACUGUCUUUUAUAGGGAAAGAGCGGCUCACAUGUACUCGCCUUUGCCAUAUGCAUUGGGGCAGGUUGCAAUUGAGGUUCCAUACAUCUUUGUUCAGUCCUUGAUAUAUGGCGUGAUAGUGUAUGCCAUGAUUGGGUUCGAAUGGACAGCUGUGAAGCUGUUCUGGUACCUGUUCUUCAUGUUCUUCACCCUAUCAUACUACACAUUUUACGGGAUGAUGACGGUGGGCCUGACUCCAAACUACAACAUUGCUUCCGUUGUUUCCUCGGCAUUCUACACCAUGUGGAACCUUUUCUCUGGAUUUAUAAUACCAAGAACAAAAGAUGUUGAUGAUUGGUUUCCCUCACAUGUCAUAUGCAGGAAGACAUGGUGUAUGCAAGUGAUGAGAGUAUGUUCGAGUAUGUAA
rnacentral:rRNA from 1 species